rnacentral:snoRNA from 2 species
AAGACUAUACUUCACAGGAUCAUUUCUGUAGUCAGUCUUCAAUUACUUUCAUUGCAAAAUGGAAAACCAUCAACCCGCGAUGAGGAGGUACAUCGUUUUAUCUGUAGCGUGAGGUUUUGAAUUUUGUCUUUUAUUGCCAGAUUUCUCCGGUUAAUUGGGACAAAGUUUCUUCGAUGAUCGCUCGAUUAAACGGAUAAAACGACUUCUGAGUGGU